UACGAAGGGUGCUAGCGUUGUUCGGAAUUACUGGGCGUAAAGCGCGCGUAGGCGGCUCGUCAAGUCAGAGGUGAAAGCCCUGGGCUCAACCCAGGAAUUGCCUUUGAAACUAGCGAGCUUGAGUGUCGGAGGGAAUAGCGGAAUUGCUAAUGUAGAGGUGAAAUUCGUAGAUAUUAGCAGGAACACCGGUGGCGAAGGCGGCUAUCUGGACGACAACUGACGCUGAGGCGCGAAAGCGUGGGGAUCAAACAGG
rnacentral:rRNA from 1 species